rnacentral:rRNA from 1 species
CUCGUGAAUUCAUCUCCGGGGGUAGAGCACUGUUUCGGCUAGGGGGCCAUCCCGGCUUACCAACCCGAUGCAAACUGCGAAUACCGGAGAAUGUUAUCACGGGAGACACACGGCGGGUGCUAACGUCCGUCGUGAAGAGGGAAACAACCCAGACCGCCAGCUAAGGUCCCAAAGUCAUGGUUAAGUGGGAAACGAUGUGGGAAGGCCCAGACAGCCAGGAUGUUGGCUUAGAAGCAGCCAUCAUUUAAAGAAAGCGUAAUAGCUCACUGGUCGAGUCGGCCUGCGCGGAAGAUGUAACGGGGCUAAACCAUGCACCGAAGCUGCGGCAGCGAACGUAUCACCCAAGACAACUUUACGGAGUUGACGAUUGACGGAGCGAAGCGACGUCAAAGCGUUCAUUAAAGUCGAGUUGGCUUAGGGAUACGUUCGUUGGGUAGGGGAGCGUUCUGUAAGCCUGUGAAGGUGUGUCGUGAGGCAUGCUGGAGGUAUCAGAAGUGCGAAUGCUGACAUAAGUAACGAUAAAGCGGGUGAAAAGCCCGCUCGCCGGAAGACCAAGGGUUCCUGUCCAACGUUAAUCGGGGCAGGGUGAGUCGACCCCUAAGGCGAGGCCGAAAGGCGUAGUCGAUGGGAAACGGGUUAAUAUUCCCGUACUUGGUGUUACUGCGAAGGGGGGACGGAGAAGGCUAUGUUGGCCGGGCGACGGUUGUCCCGGUUUAAGCGUGUAGGUGUGUGUUCCAGGUAAAUCCGGUUCACUUUAACACUGAGGCGUGACGACGAGGCACUACGGUGCUGAAGCAACAAAUGCCCUGCUUCCAGGAAAAGCCUCUAAGCAUCAGGUAACAUCAAAUCGUACCCCAAACCGACACAGGUGGUCAGGUAGAGAAUACCAAGGCGCUUGAGAGAACUCGGGUGAAGGAACUAGGCAAAAUGGUGCCGUAACUUCGGGAGAAGGCACGCUGACACGUAGGUGAAGUGAUUUACUCAUGGAGCUGAAGUCAGUCGAAGAUACCAGCUGGCUGCAACUGUUUAUUAAAAACACAGCACUGUGCAAACACGAAAGUGGACGUAUACGGUGUGACGCCUGCCCGGUGCCGGAAGGUUAAUUGAUGGGGUCAGCGCAAGCGAAGCUCCUGAUCGAAGCCCCGGUAAACGGCGGCCGUAACUAUAACGGUCCUAAGGUAGCGAAAUUCCUUGUCGGGUAAGUUCCGACCUGCACGAAUGGCGUAAUGAUGGCCAGGCUGUCUCCACCCGAGACUCAGUGAAAUUGAACUCGCUGUGAAGAUGCAGUGUACCCGCGGCAAGACGGAAAGACCCCGUGAACCUUUACUAUAGCUUGACACUGAACAUUGAGCCUUGAUGUGUAGGAUAGGUGGGAGGCUUUGAAGUGUGGACGCCAGUCUGCAUGGAGCCGACCUUGAAAUACCACCCUUUAAUGUUUGAUGUUCUAACGUGGACCCGUAAUCCGGGUUGCGGACAGUGUCUGGUGGGUAGUUUGACUGGGGCGGUCUCCUCCUAAAGAGUAACGGAGGAGCACGAAGGUUGGCUAAUCCUGGUCGGACAUCAGGAGGUUAGUGCAAUGGCAUAAGCCAGCUUGACUGCGAGCGUGACGGCGCGAGCAGGUGCGAAAGCAGGUCAUAGUGAUCCGGUGGUUCUGAAUGGAAGGGCCAUCGCUCAACGGAUAAAAGGUACUCCGGGGAUAACAGGCUGAUACCGCCCAAGAGUUCAUAUCGACGGCGGUGUUUGGCACCUCGAUGUCGGCUCAUCACAUCCUGGGGCUGAAGUAGGUCCCAAGGGUAUGGCUGUUCGCCAUUUAAAGUGGUACGCGAGCUGGGUUUAGAACGUCGUGAGACAGUUCGGUCCCUAUCUGCCGUGGGCGCUGGAGAACUGAGGGGGGCUGCUCCUAGUACGAGAGGACCGGAGUGGACGCAUCACUGGUGUUCGGGUUGUCAUGCCAAUGGCACUGCCCGGUAGCUAAAUGCGGAAGAGAUAAGUGCUGAAAGCAUCUAAGCACGAAACUUGCCCCGA